AUUUAAUGAUAAUUAUUGUCUCUAAUAUUCAUUUUUGUCAUUAGAUAUCUUUUGUAAUCCUUUUGAUUUUUACCUCCAUUUUUUGUCUACACCUCACAAUGUCUUUCCAUAUGAGAGAUUUUUGCUACAUAUCUUUGCUUCAUUUCAAUAUUGUUUUACUUUGAGGUGUUUGAUGUUUUUUAUUCAUUGCUAUAAUUGAAUAAUUAUAAAUUACCUUCGUUUUUUCAUCGUUUGCUUUUAUUUGCAGCUUCUGGGUAAAGAUGCCGAUGGAACUAAAGACCACCGUUUGCUAAUCGACAGGUGAAGAUUAACAAGUAUCAUCUGUGUACUUUUGGAAGACAUUUUUGAAUAGUAAUUACUUUUGUUAAUUGUGCUAAUGAAAGUAAGAAAAAAAGAUGAUAUGCAAAGUUUGGUCAUAAUAAGAAGAGUCAAAUGAAAUUAAGUUACUCGCCAGUUAAUUGUCCAUUUUUGUCUGGUAAAAGGAAGCAAGGAAAAUAAGAGAAGUGUAAAGAGAACUUCUAAUUACUCUCUGUCAAAUCUUCUGGUCAACGGACUGACAAUUUGUUGGUUUUACCAAGUAAACAGGCAUCAUCAUCCUCACCGACAGCGACAGCAACAUCAACAAGCCAAAAUCAUUAUACAAAUGUAGUAAAGAAGAGGCCACAUUGAAAAACUGGAGGAGUUACGCCAAAAAAAUGAAUUUGCAUGCACAAAUAGGACCCAUGAGAAAGACUCAAUCUCAAUUUGUUUAUUCUGUGUAUAAAAAGAGUAAAGUAACCAUGAUCAAAGAACAAAAAGGGAAUGUUAAAUCAGAUUAGGCUUUUUUUACAAACAGAGGAUACAGACUGAAACUCAUGGAAGCAUUACAUCAUACAUGAUAUUGCUAGUAGACUAUGUAAAGUUAAAUACCAAAAGGUGAAUAUGCAUGAUGAUGAAAACACCAAGCAAGGACUCUAAAUGGACCAAUAAUAAGCUGAUCAGAUGAAAAGAAAGGAAAUUCAAUAAGUGGAUGGAGAAUCAACAGCAAGGUUAUCAUCAAACCAAUACAAAUUCAUCCGGACAGACUAACAUGUUAACACUGGACGAAACAGAAGCGGACGGAACCUCAAAAUUACCAGAUUAAUCCUGAGGCUAAUGGCAAUUAUCAAUACAUCUUGUUGGUUGAAAUCAUUUUUCAAUAUCAACCAGACACAUCUGUUGGGAGACGCUUUUUGGACCAUUCUGUGAACCAAUUUUGCUUUUACCGGAUAAAUUUACUCUCAUGUUUCGUCGUCUAGAUCCUCCCGACAAUUGAAAUUUAACAAACGUAAUUCAAUUGUCACCUUUUUUUAUGCUUUUAUUAUCAUUAUGCUUGUAAAUGGUUAACAUUGUUCAGGCUUUUUGUCUAGUUGAGGUAAAAUUUAGUAACCUCAUGUUUGUUACUUUGUUUUAA